AGCUACAGGCUUAACACAUGCAAGUCGAGGGGCAGCAUGGUCUUAGCUUGCUAAGGCCGAUGGCGACCGGCGCACGGGUGAGUAACACGUAUCCAACCUGCCGUCUACUCUUGGACAGCCUUCUGAAAGGAAGAUUAAUACAAGAUGGCAUCAUGAGUCCGCAUGUUCACAUGAUUAAAGGUAUUCCGGUAGACGAUGGGGAUGCGUUCCAUUAGAUAGUAGGCGGGGUAACGGCCCACCUAGUCUUCGAUGGAUAGGGGUUCUGAGAGGAAGGUCCCCCACAUUGGAACUGAGACACGGUCCAAACUCCUACGGGAGGCAGCAGUGAGGAAUAUUGGUCAAUGGGCGAGAGCCUGAACCAGCCAAGUAGCGUGAAGGAUGACUGCCCUAUGGGUUGUAAACUUCUUUUAUAAAGGAAUAAAGUCGGGUAUGGAUACCCGUUUGCAUGUACUUUAUGAAUAAGGAUCGGCUAACUCCGUGCCAGCAGCCGCGGUAAUACGGAGGAUCCGAGCGUUAUCCGGAUUUAUUGGGUUUAAAGGGAGCGUAGAUGGAUGUUUAAGUCAGUUGUGAAAGUUUGCGGCUCAACCGUAAAAUUGCAGUUGAUACUGGAUAUCUUGAGUGCAGUUGAGGCAGGCGGAAUUCGUGGUGUAGCGGUGAAAUGCUUAGAUAUCACGAAGAACUCCGAUUGCGAAGGCAGCCUGCUAAGCUGCAACUGACAUUGAGGCUCGAAAGUGUGGGUAUCAAACAGGAUUAGAUACCCUGGUAGUCCACACGGUAAACGAUGAAUACUCGCUGUUUGCGAUAUACAGCAAGCGGCCAAGCGAAAGCGUUAAGUAUUCCACCUGGGGAGUACGCCGGCGACGGUGAAACUCAAAGGAAUUGACGGGGGCCCGCACAAGCGGAGGAACAUGUGGUUUAAUUCGAUGAUACGCGAGGAACCUUACCCGGGCUUAAAUUGCAGAUGAAUUACGGUGAAAGCCGUAAGCCGCAAGGCAUCUGUGAAGGUGCUGCAUGGUUGUCGUCAGCUCGUGCCGUGAGGUGUCGGCUUAAGUGCCAUAACGAGCGCAACCCUUGUUGUCAGUUACUAACAGGUUCCGCUGAGGACUCUGACAAGACUGCCAUCGUAAGAUGUGAGGAAGGUGGGGAUGACGUCAAAUCAGCACGGCCCUUACGUCCGGGGCUACACACGUGUUACAAUGGGGGGUACAGAGGGCCGCUACCACGCGAGUGGAUGCCAAUCCCCAAAACCUCUCUCAGUUCGGACUGGAGUCUGCAACCCGACUCCACGAAGCUGGAUUCGCUAGUAAUCGCGCAUCAGCCACGGCGCGGUGAAUACGUUCCCGGGCCUUGUACACACCGCCCGUCAAGCCAUGGGAGCCGGGGGUACCUGAAGUGCGUAACCGCGAGGAGCGCCCUAGGGUAAAACUGGUGACUGGGGCU
rnacentral:rRNA from 1 species